rnacentral:sRNA from 1 species
CUGCGCAACAUCGCUCGUGCGAGCUGAGUGUCUGCCUGAAUGAAAAACGCCGGCUCAGCCGGCGUUUUUUC